rnacentral:rRNA from 1 species
UACGUAGGGUGCGAGCGUUAAUCGGAAUUACUGGGCGUAAAGCGUGCGUAGGCGGUUCGUUAAGUUCGAUGUGAAAGCCCCGGGCUCAACCUGGGAAUGGCAAUGGAAACUGGCGGGCUGGAGUAUGGCAGAGGGGGGUGGAAUUCCGCGUGUAGCAGUGAAAUGCGUAGAGAUGCGGAGGAACACCGAUGGCGAAGGCAGCCCCCUGGGCCAAUACUGACGCUCAGGCACGAAAGCGUGGGGAGCAAACAGG